UACGAAGGGGGCUAGCGUUGUUCGGAAUUACUGGGCGUAAAGGGCGCGUAGGCGGUACUUCAAGUCAGGCGUGAAAGCCCCGGGCUCAACCUGGGAAUUGCAUUCGAGACUGCAUAGCUAGGGUGCGGAAGAGGGAAGCGGAAUUUCCGGUGUAGCGGUGAAAUGCGUAGAUAUCGGAAGGAACACCAGUGGCGAAAGCGGCUUCCUGGUCCAGCACCGACGUUCAGGCACGAAAGCGUGGGGAGCAAACAGG
rnacentral:rRNA from 1 species